UGAGGAACAUGACCUUCGGCGGGGGAUAGCCGGCCCAACGGCCGGGUAAUACCGCGUACGACCACUUUGGGACAUCCCUCGGUGGUGAAAGCAGCAAUGCGCCGAUGGAGUGCCUCGCGGCCUAUCAGCUAGUUGGUGAGGUAACGGCUCACCAAGGCGACGACGGGUAGCUGGUCUGAGAGGAUGGCCAGCCACAUUGGGACUGAGACACGGCCCAGACCUCCCGUACGGGGAGCAG
rnacentral:rRNA from 1 species